AUUUAGUUUCAUGUCGUCUUCAUUGAAACGUGCUCUGACAAUAUUUAUUCUGGUUUUGAAAAAGAGUUGCGCGAUGUCUUCCAAUUCAUCUGAUGAUGAAUCUGAUCGUUCGUCAUCUUCCAGCUUUCCUGAAUAUGAGAUAUGUAUGAGCGAGAAAUUAGACGGUAUUCCACCAUCGCAUGUUGUCAACAUUGAAACAAAUAUGGCGAUACGUUGUUUGUGUUAUUU